rnacentral:rRNA from 1 species
UACGAAGGGGGCUAGCGUUGUUCGGAAUUACUGGGCGUAAAGGGCGCGUAGGCGGCUCUGAUCGUCGGAUGUGAAAGGCCUGGGCUCAACCUGGGAAUGGCAUCCGAUACGGCGGGGCUGGAGUGUGGGAGAGGUUGGUGGAAUUCCCAGUGUAGAGGUGAAAUUCGUAGAUAUUGGGAAGAACACCGGUGGCGAAGGCGGCAUCCUGGACCAAUUCUGACGCUGAGGAGCGAAAGCCAGGGGAGCAAACGGG